rnacentral:rRNA from 1 species
UGGGGAAUAUUGGACAAUGGGCGCAAGCCUGAUCCAGCCAUGCCGCGUGGAUGAUGACGGCCCUAGGGUUGUAAAGUCCUUUUAACGGGGAAGAUAAUGACGGUACCCGUAGAAUAAGCCCCGGCUAACUUCGUGCCAGCAGCCGCGGUAAUACGAAGGGGGCUAGCGUUGCUCGGAAUCACUGGGCGUAAAGCGCACGUAGGCGGCUUUUUAAGUCAGAGGUGAAAGCCUGGAGCUCAACUCCAGAACUGCCUUUGAUACUGGAAAGCUUGAGUUCGGGAGAGGUGAGUGGAACUGCGAGUGUAGAGGUGAAAUUCGUAGAUAUUCGCAAGAACACCAGUGGCGAAGGCGGCUCACUGGCCCGAUACUGACGCUGAGGUGUGAAAGCGUGGGGAGCAAACAG